GUUUUGGUCUAGAGAACAACGGAGGGUUUGGGUCAGAGCUUGGGAUCUGUGCAGGGGGGUUACCCAGUGCCACCUGCCGCAGUUCCGCGGUCUUGCUCUCCGGGCACACGCCUCCCUCCUUCCUCCUUCCUUGGUGUGUCCUGCCCGCCUGGAGAUCUACGUAAUUAACCCUGGUGAGUGCCAUCUCAGGUGGCCCCCACCUCUGAGGUUCCCACCACGAGACUGUGGUUUGGGUUCCAUUUGCAAAAAUACAACCUAACAGAAUGGGCUAAGACCCAGUGGCAACCGGAGAGCAAAGUGACAGGUUUCAAUAUCCUCCAAAUCGUGAAUGUAUUUUUCUAUCAUUCUAUUUUCCAGCUCCAAAACCCUGUUUCAAAGAAUGGUUCAGGGAUGCUUGUUCAGAAAGAUCCGUUGCAAAAGCCCUGUGAAAUAUUAGCACCAUUGUAGCGGGGAUGGCUCAAAAUAACAUCCUACAAGAGAAAAGAGGAAUAAAAUUAAGGCAAUAGUUCUAUCAAUAAUGGUAAAAACAUGGCAAUCGGCACAACUCCUUUCCAAACGGAGCGUUACUUUCCUGGUCGAAGCCAUGAUGUAUUAAUAUCACUGCCCUUAACCAUCGGGUUUUAUUUUCUUUCAGGGCAGCUGACUGACAAGAGGUGAGGAGUGAAAAUUGCAAUUUGAGAACCUCUUUGGUCAGCUAGUGGAAAAGAACUAAUUCUCUCCUGUUAAAACAAGCUCAAGGUUUUUCAAGAAGCCAGCGUGAGCAGCUUGGAUUCCAAAGCCGAGACAGAAGUUGCCAUUCUGGUGAGAGCUGGACGUGGUUCUCAUUUGCUGGAGCGGGAUUUCACAGUCAAUAGGACAUCGCCAUGUGUCGCUGCCACACUCGGAGGGUACUCUGCACUGGGAUCGGGGCUCUGGCUGCUUUCCUCGCCAGGCCCCAAACUGGCUUGUGUACAAUUUAGCCUGCAUGUUCCACCCUACUCUUCAUUUACAGUCAGAGAAAAACAGCAUCUAGGGCGAGGAAGUCAAAGACCAGGAGGCCACGGCAAUACGCAUGAAGUUGAUUUCACUUGGUUUCACAAAAGGCAUUUCAGCCUUCCUGACUGAUGUAACAACACUGACAAAUUGUCCUUGAUUAAACUGUUAUUACUCUCUUGCAUUUAUUUAGCUGUUUGCAUACUCC
rnacentral:lncRNA from 1 species